UUAACUAUUAUAUAGUACUCAGACGACACUAUAAUUCAGAGUUUUGGGUCCUCUGGCGGGCACUCACCAGCCGAAGCCAGUAGCCGAAGCGGCCCGCCAAAGCAACAAAGGUAUAUAUUCAAGGGUGGGAGGUCUACCCGUGAGGGCAUGAACUCUGUAAUGAUCCUUCCGCAGGUUCACCUACGGAAA
rnacentral:misc_RNA from 1 species